GGGGCCGUAAUGGUUUCGACAGGCUGGUGGAAGCCGACCCGUGAUGCAGGCCGAGAGAGAGUCAACUCUCGAUAAUAAAGACUCACAAAAUAGUAAUUGCGAACAACAUCGUUCCUUUCGCUCGUAAAGCAGCCCCUGUAGCUGCCUAAAACACCUCUAAACAGGUUCGAGCACUCAUUGUCUGACACCGUUAAGGGCAAUGGGUAAAACCCAACGGUUGCUCACUUUCUAAGCUAUCUGGUCUAGGAAAGUGAAAAGACUUAACCAGAGAACCCUCUCAUCUGGGAUAAAAGAUGAGUCCUGUCCUGAGGGUUAGAAGGACUAAGCCUGUGAAGGAUCGGGAGGUCAAUAGCCAGUCUGGACAGCAGUUCGAUUCUGCUCGGCUCCAUUU
rnacentral:tmRNA from 1 species